rnacentral:rRNA from 1 species
UAACGAAUAUUCCGCAAUGGGCGAAAGCCUGACGGAGCAAUGCCGCGUGUGGGAUGAAGCGGUUUCGCCGUGUAAACCACUGUCAGGGGAUAGAAAAGAUGAUCAUCCCCAGAGGAAGGGGCGACUAACUCUGUGCCAGCAGUCGCGGUAAGACAGAGGCCCCGAGCGUUAGUCGGAAUUACUGGGCUUAAAGGGUGCGUAGGCGGGCGUGAAAGUGUUCUGUGAAAUCCCCGGGCUCAACCCGGGAACCGCAGGGCAUACUCCACGUCUCGAGGAAGCUAGAGGCCGGCGGAACGAUCGGUGGAGCGGUGGAAUGCGUAGAGAUCGAUCGGAACGCCAAGGGUGAAGACAGCCGGCUGGGGCUUUCCUGACGCUGAGGCACGAAAGCGCGGGGAUCAAACAGGAUUAGAUACCCGGGUAGUCC